rnacentral:tRNA from 1 species
AAAGGGAGACCUAAUUCAGGUAGGAGACGAAAAAAAAGUAGUCGCUACCAAGAAUCAAUCCCGAAAGGUCGGAGCGAGGCGAAAUUGGCUUUCAAACUAGGUUCUGGGUUCAAACAAGACCUGAAUCAGGAACAAGGGCUAUUAGCUCAGGUGGUUAGAGCGCACCCCUGAUAAGGGUGAGGUCCCUGGUUCGAGUCCAGGAUGGCCCACCUGCACAGGUGGCAAAAACAAGAGAAGCGAGGAAUCAGCACCUUAUCUUACUUAUAUAGUAAGAGAGAAUGCUGGCUCUGAGUAAAGAGUCCAGAGGAACCUUGAAAACUGCAUAGAGCUAGGUGAAAAAGCCAAAAAAGAAGACCGCAAG